UGUCCAUCCCUGCAGAAAUAACCCUCCCAGCCGUAUGUGGGAAGACAGCCCAUGUCCAGUAUGGAGCCAGGGCAAGCUCCCUGGGGAGAAACAACAUGGACAACACACCUGCAAACUCCCCGAAAGGCACCCUUGAAAGACCAGAGACACCAGCCAGACAAUAUCUACAAAUUGUCAAGUGUGAUCUCACAUCUGGGAGACAACAUGUAUACAGG